UUAUAAGAGACAGCAGCCGCCGCGGUAAUACAGAGGGUGCGAGCGUUAAUCGGAUUUACUGGGCGUAAAGCGUGCGUAGGCGGCUUCUUAAGUCGGAUGUGAAAUCCCUGAGCUUAACUUAGGAAUUGCAUUCGAUACUGGGAAGCUAGAGUAUGGGAGAGGAUGGUAGAAUUCCAGGUGUAGCGGUGAAAUGCGUAGAGAUCUGGAGGAAUACCGAUGGCGAAGGCAGCCAUCUGGCCUAAUACUGACGCUGAGGUACGAAAGCAUGGGGAGCAAACAGGAUUAGAUACCCCAGUAGUCCCUGUCUCUUAUAC
rnacentral:rRNA from 1 species